AUACGUAGGGAGCAAGCGUUGUCCGGAUUUACUGGGUGUAAAGGGUGCGUAGGCGGCUAUGCAAGUCAGUUGUGAAAACUAUGGGCUCAACCCAUAGCCUGCAAUUGAAACUGCGUAGCUUGAGUGAAGUAGAGGUAGGUGGAAUUCCCGGUGUAGCGGUGAAAUGCGUAGAGAUCGGGAGGAACACCAGUGGCGAAGGCGACCUACUGGGCUUUAACUGACGCUGAGGCACGAAAGCAUGGGUAGCAAACAGGAUUAGAUACCCUGGUAGUCCAUGCCGUAAACGAUGAUUACUAGGUGUGGGGGGUCUGACCCCCUCCGUGCCGGAGUUAACACAAUAAGUAAUCCACCUGGGGAGUACGACCGCAAGGUUGAA
rnacentral:rRNA from 1 species